GGAUUGUGGCUCAGUGGUAGAGCACACACCUAGUGCAUGUGAGGCACUGGGUUCAAUCCUCAGCACCA
rnacentral:tRNA from 1 species